rnacentral:rRNA from 1 species
UUAAGCGACUAAGCGUACACGGUGGAUGCCCUGGCAGUCAGAGGCGAUGAAGGACGUGCUAAUCUGCGAAAAGCGUCGGUAAGGUGAUAUGAACCGUUAUAACCGGCGAUGUCCGAAUGGGGAAACCCAGUGCAAUUCGUUGCACUAUCGUUAACUGAAUACAUAGGUUAACGAGGCGAACCGGGGGAACUGAAACAUCUAAGUACCCCGAGGAAAAGAAAUCAACCGAGAUUCCCCCAGUAGCGGCGAGCGAACGGGGAGCAGCCCAGAGUCUGAAUCAGCUUGUGUGUUAGUGGAACGGUCUGGAAAGUCCGACGGUACAGGGUGAUAGUCCCGUACACCAAAAUGCACAGGUUGUGAACUCGAAGAGUAGGGCGGGACACGUGGUAUCCUGUCUGAAUAUGGGGGGACCAUCCUCCAAGGCUAAAUACUCCUGACUGACCGAUAGUGAACCAGUACCGUGAGGGAAAGGCGAAAAGAACCCCGGCGAGGGGAGUGAAAAAGAACCUGAAACCGUGUACGUACAAGCAGUGGGAGCACCUUCGGGUGUGACUGCGUACCUUUUGUAUAAUGGGUCAGCGACUUAUAUUCUGUAGCAAGGUUAACCGUAUAGGGGAGCCGCAGGGAAACCGAGUCUUAACUGGGCGUUAAGUUGCAGGGUAUAGACCCGAAACCCGGUGAUCUAGCCAUGGGCAGGUUGAAGGUUGGGUAACACUAACUGGAGGACCGAACCGACUAAUGUUGAAAAAUUAGCGGAUGACUUGUGGCUGGGGGUGAAAGGCCAAUCAAACCGGGAGAUAGCUGGUUCUCCCCGAAAGCUAUUUAGGUAGCGCCUCGUGAACUCAUCUUCGGGGGUAGAGCACUGUUUCGGCUAGGGGGUCAUCCCGACUUACCAACCCGAUGCAAACUACGAAUACCGAAGAAUGUUAUCACGGGAGACACACGGCGGGUGCUAACGUCCGUCGUGAAGAGGGAAACAACCCAGACCGCCAGCUAAGGUCCCAAAGUCAUGGUUAAGUGGGAAACGAUGUGGGAAGGCACAGACAGCCAGGAUGUUGGCUUAGAAGCAGCCAUCAUUUAAAGAAAGCGUAAUAGCUCACUGGUCGAGUCGGCCUGCGCGGAAGAUGUAACGGGGCUAAACCAUGCACCGAAGCUGCGGCAGCGACACUAUGUGUUGUUGGGUAGGGGAGCGUUCUGUAAGCCUGCGAAGGUGACCUGUGAGGGUUGCUGGAGGUAUCAGAAGUGCGAAUGCUGACAUAAGUAACGAUAAAGCGGGUGAAAAGCCCGCUCGCCGGAAGACCAAGGGUUCCUGUCCAACGUUAAUCGGGGCAGGGUGAGUCGACCCCUAAGGCGAGGCCGAAAGGCGUAGUCGAUGGGAAACAGGUUAAUAUUCCUGUACUUGGUGUUACUGCGAAGGGGGGACGGAGAAGGCUAUGUUAGCCGGGCGACGGUUGUCCCGGUUUAAGCAUGUAGGCUGAUUGUCCAGGCAAAUCCGGAUAAUCAAGGCUGAGGUGUGAUGACGAGGCACUACGGUGCUGAAGUAACAAAUGCCCUGCUUCCAGGAAAAGCCUCUAAGCAUCAGGUAACAUCAAAUCGUACCCCAAACCGACACAGGUGGUCAGGUAGAGAAUACCAAGGCGCUUGAGAGAACUCGGGUGAAGGAACUAGGCAAAAUGGUGCCGUAACUUCGGGAGAAGGCACGCUGGUGUGUAGGUGAAGCCCCUGCGGGUGGAGCUGAGACCAGUCGAAGAUACCAGCUGGCUGCAACUGUUUAUUAAAAACACAGCACUGUGCAAACACGAAAGUGGACGUAUACGGUGUGACGCCUGCCCGGUGCCGGAAGGUUAAUUGAUGGGGUUAUCCGUAAGGAGAAGCUCUUGAUCGAAGCCCCGGUAAACGGCGGCCGUAACUAUAACGGUCCUAAGGUAGCGAAAUUCCUUGUCGGGUAAGUUCCGACCUGCACGAAUGGCGUAAUGAUGGCCAGGCUGUCUCCACCCGAGACUCAGUGAAAUUGAACUCGCUGUGAAGAUGCAGUGUACCCGCGGCAAGACGGAAAGACCCCGUGAACCUUUACUAUAGCUUGACACUGAACAUUGAGCCUUGAUGUGUAGGAUAGGUGGGAGGCUUUGAAGCGUGGACGCCAGUCUGCGUGGAGCCAACCUUGAAAUACCACCCUUUAAUGUUUGAUGUUCUAACGUUGGCCCCUUACCGGGGUUGCGGACAGUGUCUGGUGGGUAGUUUGACUGGGGCGGUCUCCUCCCAAAGCGUAACGGAGGAGCACGAAGGUUAGCUAAUCCUGGUCGGACAUCAGGAGGUUAGUGCAAUGGCAUAAGCUAGCUUGACUGCGAGCGUGACGGCGCGAGCAGGUGCGAAAGCAGGUCAUAGUGAUCCGGUGGUUCUGAAUGGAAGGGCCAUCGCUCAACGGAUAAAAGGUACUCCGGGGAUAACAGGCUGAUACCGCCCAAGAGUUCAUAUCGACGGCGGUGUUUGGCACCUCGAUGUCGGCUCAUCACAUCCUGGGGCUGAAGUAGGUCCCAAGGGUAUGGCUGUUCGCCAUUUAAAGUGGUACGCGAGCUGGGUUUAGAACGUCGUGAGACAGUUCGGUCCCUAUCUGCCGUGGGCGCUGGAGAAUUGAGGGGGGCUGCUCCUAGUACGAGAGGACCGGAGUGGACGCAUCACUGGUGUUCGGGUUGUCAUGCCAAUGGCACUGCCCGGUAGCUAAAUGCGGAAGAGAUAAGUGCUGAAAGCAUCUAAGCACGAAACUUGCCCCGAGAUGAGUUCUCCCUGAGACUUUAAGUCUCCUGAAGGAACGUUGAAGACGACGACGUUGAUAGGCCGGGUGUGUAAGCGCAGCGAUGCGUUGAGCUAACCGGUACUAAUGAACCGUGAGGCUUAACCU